GACGACGUAGCUCACCGGAAGAGCGCAGGGCUUGCCCGAAUGUAGCUGGUUCAACUCCAGCCGCCGUCA
rnacentral:tRNA from 1 species